CCUACGGGGGGCAGCAGUUAGGAAUCUUCCGCAAUGGACGGAAGUCUGACGGAGCGACGCCGCUUGGAGGAGGAAGCCCUUCGGGGUGUAAACUCCUGAACUGGGGACGAAAGCCCUGUGUAGGGGGAUGACGGUACCCAGGUAAUAGCGCCGGCCAACUCCGUGCCAGCAGCCGCGGUAAUACGGAGGGCGCGAGCGUUACCCGGAUUUACUGGGCGUAAAGGGCGUGUAGGCGGCCUGGGGCGUCCCAUGUGAAAGGCCACGGCUCAACCGUGGAGGAGCGUGGGAUACGCUCAGGCUAGAGGGUGGGAGAGGGUGGUGGAAUUCCCGGAGUAGCGGUGAAAUGCGCAGAUACCGGGAGGAACGCCGAUGGCGAAGGCAGCCACCUGGUCCACUUCUGACGCUGAGGCGCGAAAGCGUGGGGAGCAAACCGGAUUAGAUACCCCAGUAGUC
rnacentral:rRNA from 1 species